rnacentral:rRNA from 1 species
GACGAACGCUGGCGGCGUGCUUAACACAUGCAAGUCGAACGGAAAGGCCCCUUUGGGGGUACUCGAGUGGCGAACGGGUGAGUAACACGUGAGUAACCUGCCCUUGACUUCGGGAUAACUUCAGGAAACUGGGGCUAAUACCGGAUAGGAAUCCUUGCUGCAUGGUGGGGGUUGGAAAGCUUCGGCGGUUUUGGAUGGACUCGCGGCUUAUCAGCUUGUUGGUGGGGUAGUGGCUUACCAAGGCUUUGACGGGUAGCCGGCCUGAGAGGGCGACCGGCCACAUUGGGACUGAGAUACGGCCCAGACUCCUACGGGAGGCAGCAGUGGGGAAUAUUGCACAAUGGGCGGAAGCCUGAUGCAGCAACGCCGCGUGCGGGAUGACGGCCUUCGGGUUGUAAACCGCUUUCAGCAGGGGCGAAGCUUUUGCGACGGUACCUGCAGAAGAAGCACCGGCUAACUACGUG